GUAGGAGUGUGGGCUCUGGUGCAUUCUUUGAUUUCUUUGAUAUGGCCAUUGAUUACUAUUUGUGGCUUAAGGAGUCCAGAGAGUCACACCCCCACAGGCCUUGUUGACUAUAGGGAGUGUAUCUUCGGGGCCCAGGUGGACGUUAAUCCCUAACCCCCCGUGAUUCAGUUUACAGCAAGAAAAGGGCAAAGAAGCCAUGAGACUUACGGGGCAUUUCCACCCCUAAGAUCCCUAUUGGCCAAGGACCGACACAGACCAUAAAUGUGGUCUAGCACAAGGCCAGUGGGAGAAAACCAUAUAUUUAUGGACCCCACGUUGGUUCCCUCCCAUCUUUAAAAGAUAAAAACCCCCAUAGGACAAUAGAGAGUGGGGGCUCUUCUCCCCCCUCCCGGCAGCCCUAGGAGCUGUUUGCUUUCCUUUAAUAAAGCCGUUGCUUGCUUUCUGCCUGUGUGUUCGCAAAGUUCAUUCUUUGGCUGCGUGAACAGGAACCUGGAUUCUGGUAACAUCUUUCUGGCAUCAUCUUUUGGGGGCUCGUCUGGGAUCCAAGCCAAUACGCCAGCGCUCACCAGAUGCCACAUGGUAAAAACAAAUUUAUCACUCAGUCAGCACCAUAUAUACAGAGAAAGCUCCAAAAAUUGGCUCUUGGUCCUGAUCAGGAAGCACCUCCUUAGAGCAGCAACUACAUCAUAGUCGGGACCAGGAAGAAGGAAAGGAGAACCAGAGGAGACACAGAGAAAAUCCUGAGGCUCCAGUUUGCAGCUACAGGGAGUCAGCGGGGAGCUUCCAAGGCCAGAGGACUAGGGCAGAGACCUGAGCCAGGAGCCUGUUUCCUCUGUUCCUCUGUGGAAAAGAGGACACUUUAAAUGGGAAUGCCCCCAAGCUCAGGCCACCACACCUAGGCCUCUAGGCAUAAACCCCCCUAUUGGACAAUGGUGUGUGUGUGUGGGGGGGCUCUUCUCCCCCCUCCCAGCAGCCCUGGAGCUAUUUGCUUUCCUGUAAUAAAGACUUUGCUUGCUUGCUGCCUGUGUGUUCC
rnacentral:lncRNA from 1 species